UACGUAGGGGGCAAGCGUUGUCCGGAUUUAUUGGGCGUAAAGAGCGUGUAGGCGGUUUGGUAGGUCCGCUGUGAAAACUCGAGCUCAACCUCGAGACGCCGGUGGAAACCAUCAGACUAGAGUCCGGAAGAGGAGAGUGGAAUUCCUGGUGUAGCGGUGAAAUGCGCAGAUAUCAGGAGGAACACCGGUGGCGAAGGCGGUUCUCUGGGCAUGUCCUGACGCUGGAGGAGCGAAAGUGUGGGGAGCGAACAGG
rnacentral:rRNA from 1 species